rnacentral:lncRNA from 1 species
GAUUGGUGUAUUCGAUGAAUAAGAAAUGUUUUAUAUUUCGUCGUGUAACAGAAGAAAUUGUUCUAAUGUUGAUGAUUUACCCUCCAUAAACAGCUCUCAUGUCCAUAACGUUUCUCACAUUGGACCAGCUGAUGCCUAAUCCACUGAGGUACGACUUGCUCACAACCCUUUGCCAAUGUUCAUAAUCUGCUGCAAAAUCAUCAGGAGUAGGUUUCCCGUAAAUUCCCAUCUGGGAUCUGUUUAACCAGUAUGGAGUUUCCUGGAGGCGACGAUGCCAUUCCUGAGGCCAUUGGGAACCUCUCUCAGCCUCAUUGACUGGCACCUUGUGCAUGCAUGACUGCAAGGGCACAUACCUGAAAGAUAAAUUCCCAAAAAAUAACAUUUGUCAACCAUAAGCAGUUCAAGUUUAAACCAAUUUGAAUUCAUGGUUAGUAUAUUUGAUCUCCUCUCCAUUUAGUUUAAGAUAUAAGUUGAUAGAAUAUAGAGAAUCCUACCAGGCAGCAUUUGGAUCAUCAUCAUUUUUACACAUUGGAGGUUGCUUACGGUUUCUUUUUUCAUAGCAUUCAUUUGAGUCUGGUUUGUGGUAGAUGGCUGCACCAAUCGAAUUUAAUUUAUCCUUCUUGAUGGUAACAAGCUCCCAACACAUGGAUAUUGUUAAGGAAGACAUUUCUGAAAUUAAGAGAUUAAUGUUGUUAAACCCCAAGGCACUCGAGCAAAAAACCAUAUACACUAACACUAGUGCUAUAAAUUUAUAAAUGCUACUACAGUCGUAUCAUUUUAUCCACAUCCACAAACAUUAAAGACAUUUAUGUUCCUACCAUUCCAUAUCUGCACAUCUUCUUCAAGCUUCUGGUACACAGGAGUUGCUGACCAGACAAAAUAACCUCCAGGUCGAAGCAUUCGGUUUAACUCCAAGAGAAGAGUACCACCUUGAGCACAAAAAUUAAAUGUUAAAAGUGCUGAACCGGAGUAAAAAUGCCAAAACAUGGAAAUCUGCACAAAGAUCGAUGGAACCUUCAACAUGCCAAGGAACUCUACAGCGUGCACAGUGGAUAAGGUCAAAGACCC